UUUGGGGGUCCAAAUAUGGGGUUCCAAAAGAGUCACCUCUGCCGGAGAGGGUUUUUGGACCCCCAUGAAACCCCCACCAGUGGUACCAUACCCUUCAAAUUCAUUUUGGCAAGAGCAAGGUUCCCACAUAUAACAAAUAAUCCUGUUUAGAAUAAAUAUGAUCAUUAAUUGUGGUGCUACGGCCACCCAAAAAGUGAAAAAUCACACAUGCCGUCAACAUUUUUUUAGGACUUUGGUGACCCACCUCUCACCCAAACAGUAAGGAAUGUUGAUUCUGCCUCCAGAAUUGUGUAUAGGUUACAGGCUACAAUGAACUAACAAGCCAGUUUCCAG